UGGUGAAGAGAGAACCUUGAACCCCAGAA
rnacentral:piRNA from 1 species